rnacentral:rRNA from 1 species
UUUGCCUACGGGGGGCAGCAGUGGGGAAUAUUGGACAAUGGGGGAAACCCUGAUCCAGCGACGCCGCGUGAGUGAAGAAGUAUUUCGGUACGUAAAGCUCUAUCAGCAGGAAAGAAAAUGACGGUACCUGACUAAGAAGCCCCGGCUAACUACGUGCCAGCAGCCGCGGUAAUACGUAGGGGGCAAGCGUUAUCCGGAAUUACUGGGUGUAAAGGGAGCGUAGACGGCUGUGCAAGUCUGGAGUGAAAGGCGGGGGCCCCACCCCCGGACU